rnacentral:lncRNA from 1 species
AUUUUUUAACAUUAAAACUAUUUUUUUCGAUAGAUUUUUUAGAAGCAUCAAUAAUUCUACACUAUAUAGUAGCAUCUUUAUAUAAACUUUUUCCUUUACUUAUUGGUGUGGUAUGUACAAGGCAGAGGUCCUAAUAAUCAAAGUAGGAUACACCUUCAAAUAGUGUUGAAAUAUGUCGUUUCAGUAUUAAAAUAAAUAGUCUUGAAAGAUGUCAUUUCAGUAUUGAAAAUAUUUGUAAUAGCUUGAAAAUUUAUUUUAAUAUCUAAUUGUAAAAUUUAAAGUUUAAAAAAUAGUAUCGAUCAAGUAGAUCAAUGAAUACUAAAAUCUUGAAAUUUGACUGUAAAAAAAAUGCAUUACAAGAUGCACUAUUUUCAAAACUUGAAAUCCAUUUUUUUCAUGUUCAUGCAGUUUGAGGUCAAGAGGAUUAGAGGAUUUUUGUGCAUUGAAACAAUCUCUUCUAAUGAAAUUUUUGAUGUGCACCUUAAUUUAAGGCCUCACCUUUAUAUAAACAUUUUUCCUUACGUAAAAGC